rnacentral:rRNA from 1 species
UACGAAGGGGGCUAGCGUUGUUCGGAAUUACUGGGCGUAAAGCGCGCGCAGGCGGCUAUCCAAGUCAGUGGUGAAAGCCCGGAGCUCAACUCCGGAACUGCCAUUGAAACUGGCGAACUUGAGUACGGGAGAGGUGAGUGGAAUUCCCAGUGUAGAGGUGAAAUUCGUAGAUAUUGGGAAGAACACCGGUGGCGAAGGCGGCUCACUGGCUCGUAACUGACGCUCAGGCGCGAAAGCGUGGGGAGCAAACAGG